rnacentral:rRNA from 1 species
GACGAACGCUGGCGGCGUGCCUAAUACAUGCCAGUAGAACGCUGAAGCGAGGAGCUUGCUCUUCUUGGGUGAGUCGCGCACGGGUGAGUAACGCGUAGGUAACCUGCCUUGUAGCGGGGGAUAACUAUUGGAAACGAUAGCUAAUACCGCAUAACAAUGGAUUACCCAUGUCAUUUAUUUGAAAGGGGCAAAUGCUCCACUACAAGAUGGACCUGCGUUGUAUUAGCUAGUAGGUGAGGUAACGGCUCACCUAGGCGACGAUACAGAGCCGACAUGAGAGGAUGAGCGGCCACACUGAGACUGAGACACGGCACAGACGGCCACGGGAGGCAGCAGUAGGGAAUCGGCGGCAAGCAGUGCAAACCUGACCGCGCAGCGCCGCGUGAGUGAAGAAGGUUGUCGGGUCGUAGAGCUCGGUUGUAAGUUAAGAACGAGUGUGAGAGUGGAAAGUACACACUGUGACGGUAGCUGACAAGGAAGGAACGGCUAACUACGUG